rnacentral:rRNA from 1 species
CGGUGAUGAGGAGCUUGCUUCUCUGAUCAGUGGCGAACGGGUGAGUAACACGUGAGCAAUCUGCCCUUGACUCUGGGAUAAGCGUUGGAAACGACGUCUAAUACCGGAUACGACUCUUGGAGGCAUCUCUGGGGGUGGAAAGAAUUUUGGUCAAGGAUGAGCUCGCGGCCUAUCAGCUUGUUGGUGAGGUAAUGGCUCACCAAGGCGACGACGGGUAGCCGGCCUGAGAGGGUGACCGGCCACACUGGGACUGAGACACGGCCCAGACUCCUACGGGAGGCAGCAGUGGGGAAUAUUGCACAAUGGGCGAAAGCCUGAUGCAGCAACGCCGCGUGAGGGACGACGGCCUUCGGGUUGUAAACCUCUUUUAGUAGGGAAGAAGCGUAACAGUGACGGUACCUGCAGAAAAAGCACCGGCUAACUACGUGCCAGCAGCCGCGGUAAUACGUAGGGUGCAAGCGUUGUCCGGAAUUAUUGGGCGUAAAGAGCUCGUAGGCGGUUUGUCGCGUCUGCUGUGAAAACCCGAGGCUCAACCUCGGGCCUGCAGUGGGUACGGGCAGACUAGAGUGCGGUAGGGGAGAUUGGAAUUCCUGGUGUAGCGGUGGAAUGCGCAGAUAUCAGGAGGAACACCAAUGGCGAAGGCAGAUCUCUGGGCCGUAACUGACGCUGAGGAGCGAAAGCAUGGGGAGCGAACAGGAUUAGAUACCCUGGUAGUCCAUGCCGUAAACGUUGGGAACUAGAUGUGGGGACCAUUCCACGGUCUCCGUGUCGCAGCUAACGCAUUAAGUUCCCCGCCUGGGGAGUACGGCCGCAAGGCUAAAACUCAAAGGAAUUGACGGGGGCCCGC